GCAAGAUUAAAACUCAAAGGAAUAGAGGGGGACCCGCACAAGCGGGGGAGCAUGUGGUUUAAUUCGACGAUACGCGAAGAACCUUACCUGGCCUUGGCAUAGAAAGAACUUUCCAGAGACGGAUUGGUGCUAGUUUACUAGAGCUUUCAUACAGGUGCUGCACGGCUGUCGUCAGCUCGUGUCGUGAGAUGUUGGGUUAAGUCCCGCAACGAGCGCAACCCUCGUGUUUAGUUACUAACAGUUCGGCUGAGGACUCUAAACAGACUGCCUGGGUAACCAGGAGGAAGGUGAGGACGACGUCAAGUCAUCAUGGCCCUUACGGCCAGGGCUACACACGUGCUACAAUGGGGUAUACAAAGAGCUGCAAUACGGUGACGUGGAGCAAAUCUCAUAAAAUAUCUCCCAGUUCGGAUUGAAGUCUGCAACUCGACUUCAUGAAGUUGGAAUCGCUAGUAAUCGUAGAUCAGCAAUGCUACGGUGAAUACGUUCCCGGGUCUUGUACUCACCGCCCGUCACACCAUGGGAAUUGAAUUCAUUCGAAGCGGGGAUGCUAAAAUAGCUACCUUCCACAGUGGAUUUAGUAACUAGGGUGAAGUCGUAACAAGGUA
rnacentral:rRNA from 1 species